CAGUGUUGAAGAUGUCCCGGGAAUCUCGGGAAUUCUUUUGCCCCCACUGCUUCCUCUGGUCUGGGCAUCACCUGGUCUUAACAGGACUACAGGAGCCUGCUUACUGGUCUCCACUCUGAUCAAAGUUCUGGAGCCCAGACUAUUUCUCCCUGUUUGGUGACUCUCCAUGGGAGGCCUCAUUCUCUUGGGCUGGUGUCGCCUGGAAGCUGGAGCCAGGGCCACAGGUUUGGCUUGGCUACUGUAUUAGUCUCCUGUGGCUGCUGGUACAAGGCACCACAAAACUGGGUGGCUUAAGCAAGAAAAAUGUCUCCUCUCACAUUUCUGGAGGCUGGAAGUCAGAGACGAGUUUUCUGGACUGAAGUGAAGAUGCUGCAGAGUGUGUCCCUCAUAGGCUCCAGAGAAUGGUUCUUUGCCUCCUCCAGCUUUGGGGAUCUGUAGGCAUUCCUUGUCUGCCUCAGUGGCCACACCUCCCUCCCUCCUCCUUGUAAGUACACACGUGAUUGCCCUCCGUGUCCACCAGAUGAUCCAGGACAAUCUCU
rnacentral:lncRNA from 1 species